UUGGGCUGUGGGCUGCGCUGCUGAGAGCUGCCGAUUUGGGGCCGGAGCUCUCAGAUUCGGUUCCCCCUCCCUUCAACACUUUGGGGAUUUUUAUUUUUAUUUGUUCUCCAGCUGUCGUUUCGUUUCCUGCCUCAGUUUCCCUAUCAGAAAGAAGAAACUUGACCAGCAGCAGGCUGAGGUUAUCUGAGUCCCGUGGCGCAGAGGAAUGCCUUCUUUUGGGGAGGCUCUUUGCGCAUCCACACACGUGGUGAUCAGAGAAGGAAAUACGAGGGGAAGCAAAAUGCUGCUGCUCUGCUUUCUGGGGCGGACGGUUCAGAGCCUUCUCCAAAAAGGCAACGGAGCGCAGGCUGGACUCAGGAGGAGGGGAGAGGAGGAGGAAGCAAAACUCGAAGGGAAAUUAAAAUCACGGGCAAAUGAGGCCGUCCUGCUCACAAUGAGAUUAGCAGGAUUCCUGAGGAAACAGCCACUGUGGGGAAUUUCUCUCCUAAACAGAGCUUUCCUGCCCUUCCCUGCUGCUCUGUAAACAGCGCUGGCUUUGGGCUGGGCUGAGCGGGGCGAUGGCAGACGUUGGGAGUGGAAAAAAAAAAGCCAUUUUAAACGGCGAUUCAACCAACCACCAAAGCCAACGCGCUGCAGGUUCCCACUCUCCGUGCCCACAUCCGCUGCACUCGGAGCACCGGCUCCACUCCACGCUGCUCUGUGGCAGCUUUUAGGCUCAGAUGGGCACCGAGAGCAGCUCUGCACCACUGGGGCUCAGAUCUGAAACCGCACGUUGGAGCCAUUUGCUUUGCAAGCUCUGUUCUCUUGAUUAAACACAGCCCUGCUCACUCCUGCAUGGUUUCCAGGCUGGAAUGCGUUCGUUUCCCUUCUUCUCCCCCAGGAGCAGCUGCUCAGAGUCGCACGGAAGCACUCAGGGCUUUCCCACAGCUCCACAAUUCG